UACAGAGGGUGCGAACGUUGUUCGGAAUUACUGGGCAUAAAGCGCACGUAGGCGGCGCCGCAAGUGUGGGGUGAAAUCCCACGGCUUACCCGUGGAACUGCCUGGCAGACUGCGGUGCUAGAGGUUGGUAGGGGAGAGCGGAACUCUUGGUGGAGCGGUGAAAUGCGUAGAUAUCAAGAGGAACACCGGUGGCGAAGGCGGCUCACUGGCCCGGUACUGACGCUGAGGUGCGAAAGCGUGGGGAGCAAACAGG
rnacentral:rRNA from 1 species